GACGAACGCUGGCGGCGUGCUUAACACAUGCAAGUCGAACGGAAAGGCCCUGCUUUGGUGGGGUGCUCGAGUGGCGAACGGGUGAGUAACACGUGAGUAACCUGCCCUUGACUUUGGGAUAACUUCAGGAAACUGUGGCUAAUACCGGAUAGGAGCUCCUGCUGCAUGGUGGGGGUUUGAAAGUUUCGGCGGUUGGGGAUGGACUCGCGGCUGAUCAGCAUGAUGGUGUGGUAGUGGCUUACCAAGGCCUUGACGGGUAGCCGUACUGAGAGGGUGACAGGCCACAGUGGGACUGGGAUACGGCCCAGACUCCUACGGGAGGCAGCGGUGGGGGUUAUUGCACAAUGGGCGGCAGCCGGAUGCAGCAUCGCCGCGUGGGGGAUGACGGCCUUAGGGUUGUAACCCGCUUUCGCCUGGGAAGAAGCGUGAGUGACGGUAAUGGGUAAAGAAGCAACGGCUAACUACGUG
rnacentral:rRNA from 1 species